ACCGCGUUGAUGCGACACUAUGAGAUGUUUUAUAACCAGUUUCUCGUUUCAUGUGCGCACAGACUGCAUAAUUACAAUGUGUUAACUUCUGGUUGUAAUUAACUCAAGAAUGAAAUAUUUUUCGGUCAACGUUUAACUUACAAAUUGGAAUAACAGCGGAGUAAGACGGGCCCUAUUUAACACGUACGUAAUUAACGAAGGUUCCAAAACAAAUAAGUGAAAACGUCAUCCCGGCCCAUGAGAAAUGACUUCAAUUUGGAUCUUCUUGGGAGGUGGUUGCCUGCAAGCCUAUGAGUAUUUCAGAUCAUCAGUCAAGGGAAUGGGCACUGCAGUCCACAAUCUUAAACGAUAUCACCAACUUAAAGAAUAAACUGCAAGAAGAGAUGCAAAAAGUUAAACUCUUACUCGAUUUUAACCAACACACGAUUGACAACUUGGAAAAGGAUCUUCAAAUAACGGUAACCAAAUCUAAGAGAGACGCGCUCUCACAUGGUAAUGACAUCAACUCAUGCGUUAGACAAUUAAAGUACCUUACCAGAAAUAUGGACCUUAACGCACUCGAAACUUGCAUGGGCGACAAAGAGAUAGAUAGUGAACUAUGGAAAUUAGGUUUUAUGGUAUCGAGUAUGGCGGAGGAAGUAAAAAAAUGUUCCCUACCGUACUCACCAAGAGUACUCAACUGCAUUGAACAAGUGUUGUCCAAGGUUGAAUUCGAGUCUUCAAGGAUACUGAAAAAAGUAAAUCUUCAGCUGAAGUUGGUUUUCUACGAAGGACUAAUAUGUGUCAACAGAAUCGCGAGUAAUUUACAGGACAAAUUGUGUAAACUCAGCAAAGAUUUCGAUAAGUGUGUAGUGAGGAAAAAAUGCAAGGUCAAUCAAUCAAAAUAAUUCAAUUUGCCGGUUACUUGGAAAGACGGUGCAAGAUGAGAAAAACGUUAUGUUUUGUCUAACAUGUGGGGGUCAGGAGGCGAAGUAGUCCGUCGCUUGGGCAGUAGUGCAGAAAAUUAUUUAAGACGCUGUCGUAAAUAAAAUUACAAGUGUGUUUCGAAUAGGCGCGAUAAGGAUUAUAAGGCUUUGUUUCCAGUUCAAUUCUAUAAAUAGUUUUGUAUUUUUCUCUUACAAUCCGCUCUUCAAAAAUUUAGCUUUUCAACAUAUCAUUUUAUUAUAUCCCACAAUUGUAUAAUUUAUAUUAACAAUGCAUUUUGAAGC